GCUGCCGUGGCUGACUGGUGACGGUAUUCGUUUUGUAAGCGAAUGGUUCUGGGUUCGAUUCCCAUCCGCUCCC
rfam:Culex pipiens quinquefasciatus supercont3.40 genomic scaffold, whole genome shotgun sequence.